rnacentral:rRNA from 1 species
UACGUAGGGGGCAAGCGUUAUCCGGAUUUACUGGGUGUAAAGGGAGCGCGGGCGGUAGAUCAAGUCUGAUGUGAAAACCCAAGGCUUAACCAUGGGAAUGCAUUGGAAAUUGGUUUACUUGAGUGUCGGAGAGGUAAGCGGAAUUCCUAGUGUAGCGGUGAAAUGCGUAGAUAUUAGGAGGAACACCAGUGGCGAAGGCGGCUUACUGGACGAUAACUGACGCUGAGGCUCGAAAGCAUGGGGAGCAAAC